AUAGGAGCAGAAGUAGGCCUUUCGGCCCCUCGAGUCUGCUCGAGCCCUGUGGGUCACCCAGACACUUGAUAACAGCAGUGGCAAGGAUGGGAAUGCAGCAGAAUUCUGAGACUCUGUGCCUUACACUUUCAGUCCAGGAUUGUGUGUCAUCCCAGAGUUGUAUUGAUUCUUUUGGUCAGGUGCAUGGAUGUUCUUCCAAGGAAAGCAAGGAGCCCAGAAACUUGUUAAUGUGAGGGGGUUUACACUUAAAUCAGCUGGGAGGAGAGGACCAUGGCUGUGCAGCUUGCCCCUGAACCUGCUUUCAGUUUACUUACGACUCGAAGUUCAGCAGCAGGAAUCUGUGACUGUGUAGGUGCCUCGAAUGCUUACAAUUCCCUCCCAUAAGCUCAAGAAACAAGUCAAC